CCUACGGGAGGCUGCAGUGGGGAAUAUUGGACAAUGGGCGAAAGCCUGAUCCAGCAAUACCGCGUGUGUGAAGAAGGCCUGAGGGUUGUAAAGCACUUUCAAUUGGGAGGAAUACCUAUCCCUUAAUACGGGGUAGACUGACAUUACCUUUAGAAGAAGCACCGGCUAACUCCGUGCCAGCAGCCGCGGUCGUACGGAGGGGGCGAGCGUUAAUCGGAAUUACUGGGCGUAAAGCGUGCGUAGGUGGUUUGUUAAGUCAGAUGUGAAAGCCCUGGGCUCAACCUGGGAACGGCAUUUGAAACUGGCAGACUAGAGUUUAAGAGAGGGGAGUGGAAUUUCAGGUGUAGCGGUGAAAUGCGUAGAGAUCUGAAGGAACACCAGUGGCGAAGGCGACUCCCUGGCUUAAAACUGACGCUGAGGUACGAAAGCGUGGGUAGCAAACAGGAUUAGAUACCCCAGUAGU
rnacentral:rRNA from 1 species